rnacentral:rRNA from 1 species
GAUGAACGCUGGCGGCGUGCCUAAUACAUGCAAGUCGAGCGAACGGACGAGAAGCUUGCUUCUCUGAUGUUAGCGGCGGACGGGUGAGUAACACGUGGAUAACCUACCUAUAAGACUGGGAUAACUUCGGGAAACCGGAGCUAAUACCGGAUAAUAUUUUGAACCGCAUGGUUCAAAAGUGAAAGACGGUCUUGCUGUCACUUAUAGAUGGAUCCGCGCUGCAUUAGCUAGUUGGUAAGGUAACGGCUUACCAAGGCAACGAUGCAUAGCCGACCUGAGAGGGUGAUCGGCGGCCUUGGAACGGGGACACGGACCAUGCUCCUGCGAGAGGCAGCAGUCGGGAAUCUGCCGCAAUGGGCGAGAGCCUUACGGAGCAACGCCGCGUGAGUGAUGACGGUCUUCGGAUCGUAAAGCUCUGUUAUUAGGGAAGAACAGAUGUGUAAGUAACUGUGCACAUAUUGACGGUACCUAAUCAGAAAGCAACGGCUAACUACGUG